GUUUGUAGCGGGUUGUUUCAACAAGUCGCUACGGCUCUGUUGUCAACAGCUUGCGACAGACCUGUUCCCGCAAGCCUGUUACAGCCUGAAGAAACCAACAGACCUGUCGCGACUUGUUGACAACUUGCCGCAAGCCGGUAAAAUCAACAACUUGCGACAGGCCUGUGAGAUUUCUGGCUGUGUAUACUUGUCUAAUAAUGAGUCCAUGGCAUGAGCUUAUGUUCUGGGAAAGGG